rnacentral:misc_RNA from 1 species
GAAAUGCGAUACGUAGUGUGAAUUGCAGAAUUCAGUGAAUCAUCGAAUCUUUGAACGCACAUUGCGCCCUUUGGUAUUCCAAAGGGCAUGCCUGUUCGAGCGUCAUUUGUACCCUCAAGCUUUGCUUGGUGUUGGGCGUUUUUUGUCUUUGGCUCGCCCAAAGACUCGCCUUAAAACGAUUGGCAGCCGGCCUACUGGUUUCGCAGCGCAGCACAUUUUUGCGCUUGCAAUCAGCAAAAGAGGACGGCAAUCCAUCAAGACUCCUUCUCACGUUUGACCUCGGAUCAGGUAGGGAUACCCGCUGAACAUAAGC